AUGAAAUACAUUCAACGUGUUUCCUGUGCAGACUCCUGUGACGAUGAAGACGAUGCUCCACCUCCUCGCGUCCUCGCCUCCUCGUCUCCUCGCCUCCUCGUCUCCUCACGUCCUCGCCUCCUCGCCUCCUCGCCUCCUCGCCUCCUCGCCUCCUCGCCUCCUCGCGUCCUCGCUCCUGUUCUCGCCUCCUCGCUCCUCGCUCCUGUUCUCCUCGUCUCCUCUUCUCCUCGUCUCCUCGUCUCCUGUUCUCCUCGCUCCUCGUCUCCUGUUCUCCUCGCCUCCUCGCUUCCUCGUCUCCUGUUCUCCUCGCGUCCUCGCUCCUGUUCUCCUCGUCUCCUCGUCUCCUGUUCUCCUCGCGUCCUCGUCUCCUGUUCUCCUCGUCUCCUCGUCUCCUCGUCUCCUGUUCUCCUCGCCUCCUCGUCUCCUGUUCUCCUCGUCUCCUCGCCUCCUGCUUCUCCCUCGCCUCCUCGUCUCCUGUUCUCCUCGCCUCCUCGUCUCCUGUUCUCCUCGUCUCCUCGUCUCCUGUUCUCCUCGCUCCUCGCCUCCUCGCGUCCGCCUCGCUUCCUCGCCAUUUGCGCCUCCGCCUCGCCUCCGCCUCCUCGCGCCUCCUGCCUCCUCGCCUCGCCUCCUCGCCUCGCCUCGCCUCCUCACGCCUCGCCUCCUCGCCUCCUCGCGCCUCGCCUACGCCUCCUCGCCUCCGCCUCCGCGUCCUCGCUCCUGCUCCUCCUCGCUCCUCGCUCCUGUUCUCCUCGCCGUCCUCGUCUCCUGUUCUCCUCGCUCCUCGUCUCCUCGUCUCCUGUUCUCCUCGCCUCCUCGCUCCUGUUCUCCUCGCCUCCUCGCCUCCUGUUCUCCUCGCGCCUCGUCUCCUGCCUUCUCCUCGCCUCCUCGUCUCCUGUUCUCCUCGCGUCCUCGUCUCCUGUUCUCCUCGCCUCCUCGCCUCCUCGCCUCCUGUUCUCCUCGCGUCCUCGCCUCCUGUUCUCCUCGCCUCCUCGCCUCCUCGCCUCCUGUUCUCCUCGCCUCCUCGCUCCUGUUCCUCCUCGCCUCCUCGUCUCCUCGCGCCUCGCCUCCUCGCUUCCUCGCCAUUUGCGCCCUCGCCUCCUCGCCUCCUCGCUCCUCGCCUCCUCGCCUCCUCGCGUCCUCGCCUCCUCGCCUCCUCGUCUCCUCGUCUCCUGCACCGUUAAUGUCAUAUGA
rnacentral:lncRNA from 1 species